GCUGGCGGCGUGCUUAACACAUGCAAGUCGAACGAUGAACCCUUCGGUGGGGAUUAGUGGCGAACGGGUGAGUAACACGUGGGCAAUCUGCCCUUCACUCUGGGACAAGCCCUGGAAACGGGGUCUAAUACCGGAUACCACUACCGCAGGCAUCUGUGGUGGUUGAAAGCUCCGGCGGUGAAGGAUGAGCCCGCNGCCUAUCAGCUUGUUGGUGAGGUAAUGGCUCACCAAGGCGACGACGGGUAGCCGGCCUGC
rnacentral:rRNA from 1 species